GGCUGGUUAGCUCAGCUGGUUAGAGGGUGGUGCGGUGCUAAUAACGCCAAGGUUGAGGGUUCGACCCCAAUAUGGGCCA